GACUCCAGCCAGCUUAGUUCUUUGGAGAAGCAGUGUGGAGUCCUAAAAAAGGAGGCUGAGUCUUACCGUUGAGGUCGGUGCCGGUAGAGAAUGGGAGGGAGUCUGCAGGAGCCAAGCACCCUAAAGAAGAGGAAGAGAGCACGUUGCUGAGAUUUGAACAGCGACCUGAGAGGUCAGACUGGACCCAGGCCUCCUCAAGAUUGGCUUCCCAUGGGACCUGCAACUGUCUGGAAACAAAAAAAGAAGCCUACCAAAAGGGGAAAUUUAAAGGAGAGCAAGAAACCAUGAAGAGAGAGCCGAAAACGCGAAAAUGCCGACAAGCCCAAAGGAAAGCGGAGUGUCCUGUGUGCCACAUGGAACUCGGGGAAAGGAAAUGAUUAAAGCCGUGAGGUUUCCUGGCUCUUCGUGGUGUUUACGGUGGGUUUUGAUUUGGGAAGAGAGCAGGAGAGGUUAUGGCCGGUUGCCAUCUGCCAGCGUCCUCAAUCUGCCUGGGCUACAGAUGACAUAGGGGCGGGUGGGCACGUGCGCUCUGUGUGCACAUUCCGAGUGUGUGCAGGAGCGUGUCUCGGAGUGUCUUGUGUGGUGGCCUACCUGGCAAUACAUGCAUGGUUAAAAAGAAGAGAUCUUCCAGCUUCAAGAGGAGGGGUUUCAGGUUCUUUCAGACAUCUGAGGGGCUGCAUCUUUCUAAAGUGCACACGUUUCUUUUUCAAACACUAUUUAAAAAUUUUUGUAAUGUUUCCAGUCUUUGCAUACUGUAAAUGGACAGGAAUAGGACAGAAACCCCAUCAUUAAACACUUACAUUGAUUUAAAUCAAAUUCCACUAAGUGAAAAUGCUUGUUGAAAUUUGGAAAAUAUUUUUUAAUGUAAUAAUGACAUUUGGACAUUGCAACUAUAGACAAUAAUCAUCAAAUCUGAAAUUAAGAUAAAUUUAAUAAAAGUGAUUUUUAAAUG